ACAAGUUAAAACAAAUUAUUGAAUUAAAAUUUCGACUUAAUGUUAAGUUUUAAAAAGUCAAAAAUAAAUUAUUGAAUAAACUUUUGAUAUUAGUAAUAAAUUUAGAGUAUAAGACAUCUAAUCCUAUCUAAACUCACCUAAAAAUGAGCUUUAAUAAUCCUAUGAAUGUUGGGCUAUAAUUUAGACUAAUUUAUUAGUCCUGACAACCAAAUGGGACUAGAGAUGGCAAAAACCCGACUUGAAUUUUGGCUCGAUUAACCCAGUUCGAAAAUUUUUGGGUUUUGACCUGAAUUUAAGGGUUAAAAUUCGGGCUCGAGCUUAAAAAUAAAAGUAUGAUCAAAUUCGGGUCAGGGUUUGAGCUUUAUAUGGCCCGACCCGACCUGAAUUUAACAAAAAAUUUAAAAAUAAACCAUAUGCUACAAUACAAUAGUGACACGCACGCUGCACACACGACACACACACCCCACAUGAAUUGACAAACAUUUCCAUUUCCCAUUCACUGUCGCUGCAACCCUGCAACUCAAACUCUCGAAGCCAUCACAAGCUCACCACCAAGCCUCAUUGUGCGUGGGACGAAAUCCAUGCCACGAUAAUCGUGAAGUCGCAAACAAACCAGUCACGAGUUGAGUGUCACCGCCACAACAAUUGCCCAGUAUUUUAACAAAGUAAGGAUGUCACUAACAGACAAAAAAUAUAGUCUCUAAUGUAUCAAAAUUUGUAUUUUUUGGUAUUUUAGUAUGUAUGAGAAUAUCGUCACUAAAGAAUAGUAAUAUAUAUGUAUAUGUAUACGUGUAUACAUGUGUGUGUGUAUUGCCCUCAUUUUUUUCUUUUUAUAUAUAUACAUUAUUAAGUCAUAUAAUUUAAUAUACUCAAUAGAGAUAUGUUAUUAAAUCAUAUAGCUUUCUAGUGAAUUGAACAUUAAUUAUAUAUACUUCUUUCUCAAAUAUGGGUACCCUCAUCAUUUAAAGUAUGAAUUUAGGGAUAGAAAGAAAAAAAAAAAAAAAUCCGCCUCGAUCCUUGGCUCAAUUGACUCAUCCCAAAAUUUUUGAACUUUAAACUUUAACCCAAAUCUAAGGCUAAGGGUUGAGUAAGGGCCCAAGAAUUAAGGUGAACUUUGAUUUAGUCAAUUUUCAGGGUCGAUUGAAAUUUUUAAGAUAUUUGAGGACAUUUGAUUUUUGAGAUAUUUUGAGCAUUAAAUUUCAUACGCAAAAAUCACAUGGCAAUUGGAAAGUGCUGCGAAUCACAAUCUAAAAAAAAGAAGAAAAAACUGAUUUUCCCAACGACAGAGGGCAACGUGAAAUAAUUAAAGACAAUAGCAAAACAGCAAAGGGCAACAUCAAGGCACACGAAGAAGAAGGCAACAGUGUGAUUCCAUGGACCAUGGUUCAGAGAAAAUUAGAGAGAUGGAGUCCCAGCGUUGUCUAAAGUGCCGCAAUGAAAUCAAGGUACGAAGAAUAAAAAUAUUUUUGGUGUCGGGUUCAAGUUUAUGUAUUAUG
rnacentral:lncRNA from 1 species